rnacentral:rRNA from 1 species
GAUGAACGCUAGCUACAGGCUUAACACAUGCAAGUCGAGGGGCAGCAUGACGAUAGCUUGCUAUUGUUGAUGGCGACCGGCGCACGGGUGAGUAACGCGUAUCCAACCUUCCCGUUGCUAGGGGAUAACCUUGCGAAAGUAAGACUAAUACCCUAUGAGGUUCUUCGCAGGCAUCUAAAGAGAACGAAAGAUUUAUCGGCAACGGAUGGGGAUGCGUCUGAUUAGGUUGUUGGCGGGGUAACGGCCCACCAAGCCCACGAUCAGUAGGGGUUCUGAGAGGAAGGUCCCCCACAUUGGUACUGAGACACGGACCAAACUCCUACGGGAGGCAGCAGUGAGGAAUAUUGGUCAAUGGGCGCGAGCCUGAACCAGCCAAGUCGCGUGAGGGAAGACGGCCCUACGGGUUGUAAACCUCUUUUGCCGGGGAGCAACGCUGCGGACGUGUCCGCAGGUGAGAGUACCCGGAGAAAAAGCAUCGGCUAACUCCGUG